rfam:Triticum urartu cultivar G1812 contig938065, whole genome shotgun sequence.
UAUAUACUUCCUCCAUCCGGAAAUACUUGUCAUCAAAAUGAACAAAAGAGGAUGUAUCUAGACGUAUUUUAAUUUUACAUACAUCCCUUUUUAUCCAUUUUGAUGACAAGUAUUUUCGGAUGGAGGGAGUACUUU